AUUGAACGCUGGCGGCAGGCCUAACACAUGCAAGUCGAACGAGUGGCGGACGGGUGAGUAAUGUCUGGGAAACUGCCUGAUGGAUGGGGAUAACUACUGGAAACGAUAGCUGAUACCGCAUACCAUCGGAUGUGCCCAGCUGGGAUUAGCUUGGUGGUGGGGUAACGGCUAACCAAGGCGACGAUCCCUACCUGGUCUGAGAGGAUGACCAGCCACACUGGAACUGAGACACGGUCCAGACUCCUACGGGAGGCAGCAGUGGGGAAUAUUGGACAAUGGGCGCAAGCCUGAUGCAGCCAUGCCGCGUGUAUGAAGAAGGCCUUCGGGUUGUAAAGUACUUUAAGCGGGGAGGCGUUACCCGCAGAAGAAGCACCGGCUAACUCCGUGCCAGCAGCCGCGGUAAUUC
rnacentral:rRNA from 1 species